rnacentral:rRNA from 1 species
UGGGGAAUAUUGGACAAUGGGGGCAACCCUGAUCCAGCCAUGCCGCGUGAGUGAUGAAGGCCUUCGGGUUGUAAAGCUCUUUUGGCGGGGACGAUGAUGACGGUACCCGCAGAAUAAGCCCCGGCUAACUUCGUGCCAGCAGCCGCGGUAAGACGAAGGGGGCUAGCGUUGUUCGGAAUUACUGGGCGUAAAGCGAGUGUAGGCGGUUGCCGUAGUCAGGUGUGAAAGCCUUGAGCUCAACUCAAGAAAUGCACUUGAUACUGGGUGACUAGAGGACCGGAGAGGAUAGUGGAAUUCCCAGUGUAGUGGUGAAAUACGUAGAGAUUGGGAAGAACACCAGUGGCGAAGGCGGCUAUCUGGACGGUUACUGACGCUAAGACUCGAAAGCGUGGGGAGCAAACAGGAUUAGAUACCCUGGUAGUCCACGCCGUAAACGAUGGGUGCUAGACGUUGGCGAGCUUGCUCGUCAGUGUCGCAGCUAACGCGUUAAGCACCCCGCCUGGGGAGUACGGCCGCAAGGUUGAAACUCAAAAUGAAUUGACGGGGGUCAUAGCUGUUUCCU